UACGAAGGGGGCUAGCGUUGCUCGGAAUUACUGGGCGUAAAGGGAGCGUAGGCGGACAUUUAAGUCAGGGGUGAAAUCCCGGGGCUCAACCUCGGAAUUGCCUUUGAUACUGGGUGUCGUGAGUAUGAGAGAGGUAUGUGGAACUCCGAGUGUAGAGGUGAAAUUCGUAGAUAUUCGGAAGAACACCAGUGGCGAAGGCGACAUACUGGCUCAUUACUGACGCUGAGGCUCGAAAGCGUGGGGAGCAAACAGG
rnacentral:rRNA from 1 species